rnacentral:rRNA from 1 species
UGGGGAAUAUUGCACAAUGGGCGCAAGCCUGAUGCAGCCAUGCCGCGUGUAUGAAGAAGGCCUUCGGGUUGUAAAGUACUUUCAGUCGGGAGGAAGGUGGUAAGGUUAAUAACCUUGGCAAUUGACGUUACCGACAGCAGAAGCACCGGCUAACUCCGUGCCAGCAGCCGCGGUAAUACGGAGGGUGCAAGCGUUAAUCGGAAUUACUGGGCGUAAAGCGCACGCAGGCGGUUGAUUGAGUCAGAUGUGAAAUCCCCGGGCUUAACCCGGGAAUUGCAUCUGAUACUGGUCAGCUAGAGUCUUGGAGAGGGGGGUAGAAUUCCAUGUGUAGCGGUGAAAUGCGUAGAGAUGUGGAGGAAUACCGGUGGCGAAGGCGGCCCCCUGGACAAAGACUGACGCUCAGGUGCGAAAGCGUGGGGAGCAAACAGG